GUGCGUGCGUGCGUGUGUGUGUGUGUGCGUGCAUGCGCGUGUGUGUAAAAGAGAGCAAAGAGAUAGAGGGAAAGAGAGCGUGCACAUGGUUCAUUCCGGCUCGGUCCUACCACCCAUCCUCAUACCUCUCUUUCCUGUCUCCAUCUGUCGCUCUCUUGACGUUUAUUUCACCUGAUUUUGAGCAGAUCGCCGGACGAACAUCCACCUUGUGUCGCUUUGAAAAAUAAUUCCUCCUCUGAACAUCGGUAAUCUUGUUGGCGUGCUGUAAGUUCAUAUCUGAGCUUUCUCUUUCUCUGUCUCUUUUUUUCCCCUCCCGAGCAGGAAGCGAGCUAGAAGAACAACGGGCAUGGGGGCAUCCUGGAUCCGAAGGGGAGGAGCUGCCAAGACGUAUUACAACAUCCUCUCAGCGGACCACGAAGACAUCGGACAGUAAAUGGACCGAGAAGAAAAGCCAGUUGACAAGCAAGUUCUCAGUAGAUAGGGUGCUUGCAGUAAUUAGUCCAUAUGAUCUGAAAUUGGAUGCAUCCAUGGUCCAUGGAUAAAGGAAUUGCUGUACCACGUUACCUCAUUUAAUGAAUAUACAGUACCUAUACCUUAUAUACAGUUAAUAUUUAAUUAGUAAUUAUUCAUUCUAUUUGAAAAUAAAACUGCAAACUUUAGAAGUAGGCCUACCACUGGGGUGGGCUGCAUGCACUGCACUGUAGGCCUGUCUGACACAGCUGUUAAAGAGCUUUUUCUUUCUCUCUCUUCCAGCCUGUUAGACCAGGUCAGGACAUGUCGGGGAAUGGGACACGAACAUGAGACGGAUAUGACAACCAUACUGGAGCAAGCCUCAACUGUUCAUUUACAUGCAUACUGAGAUACUAAGAUGUCUUCCAUAGUAAUUGAUGUAUUUGUCUUUGUAAAAAAAAUAUAUAUGUAAUGCUAAUAAAAUAUAUUUUUUUAAAAACCUCCUUUUGUAUUAUUCCAAGAAAUGCACCAUUCUAAAAUUGUGUCAUCCUUAGCAUAUUAAGUGUGCUAGUAUUUAAUAUGCCAGACAUAGCUAUUUGUUCGUAUUUGCCAUAUUAACAUUUAUGUUAUCAUUUAUUGGCUCCAUGCUAACAUUUUUGGCACAUAGCAUGUGAAGCAAUAGCAGGCAUCAUAUUAACACUUAACACGUUAUGUGAUAGUAUAUUACAAACAAACAUUUUAGUGUACACUAUUCUUGGAAAUAGUGCCUCAUGCUAGCCUUGGUCUACAUACACAGCGUUGAGUGGUAGAAGGCUCCUUAACCCUUUAUAACAUGCAUUAUACUAAAUGAUAGCAAACUCAAAGCUAAUAUUCACAUUUACACUAUUGAGUGAUAAUGCUCUGUGCUAACACUUUAGUUAGUAAGCAUUAAAGUAAGACUAAUCAUGCAGACUAAUCAACUUUUAGCUUAAUUAUAGCAUUCAUUAGGUGAGUGAAGCUCUAGACUUCUCUUUAUUAAUCCUUUAAUUAAUACUAUGCUAUUUAGAACACAUUUCCAUCCUUGUAUGUCGUAUGAUGCUGCAGAUGAUGAAUCCAUGGCAUUUAUUCCAGUUCAUUCAAGUUGUUCAGUGAUGACGUGUCUAUUUGUGGUGUCCACUUUACUUCCACCGUCCUCCUCUACCUCAGUGAAUCACCACAUUUCCAAGAAUGACUUUCAACACCCCGAGAGUUCCUGCCCCGACUUGUUAUUGCCAACGUUUGGUUUUACAUUGGAUAAAUUGGCAACUGUCAGGCUGGUACAGAAAGAGAGUUAGUAACUAAACAAAGUGAAAUGUUCUGCCUAAAAAAACAACACAGCCAUGCCUCACAGCACGUCCUUUAGUCGUAUUGCAUUAUAGGCAAUUAGGGCUACUGUAAAAUAGAUAGCUCCUGCUUUUCCUCAGCUUUUUCAGCUUAUUAGGAAAUUAAUUAUUGUAAAAAAGAAGCCCUACGAUGCAAAAAACAACAACAACCGAUGUCCAUUGUAUGUUAUUGAU